rnacentral:rRNA from 1 species
CCUACGGGAGGCAGCAGUGAGGAAUAUUGGUCAAUGGGCGUAAGCCUGAACCAGCCAAGUCGCGUGAGGGAUGAAGGUUCUAUGGAUCGUAAACCUCUUUUAUAAGGGAAUAAAGUGCGGGUCGUGUCCCGUUUUGUAUGUACCUUAUGAUUAAGGAUCGGCUGACUUCGUGCCAGCAGCCGCGGUAAUACGGUGGAUCCGAGCGUUAUCCGGUUUUAUUGGGUUUAAAGGGUGCGUAGGCGGCCUUUUUAGUUAGCGGUGAAAGUCUGUGGCUCAACCAUAGAAUUGCCGUUGAAACUGGGAGACUUGAGUAUGUUUGAGGCAGGCGGAAGGCGUGGUGUAGCGGUGAAAUGCUUAGAUAUAGCGCAGAACACCGAUGGCGAAGGCAGCCUGCCAGGCCAUGACUGACGCUGAUGGACGAAAGCGUGGGGAUCAAACAGGAUUAGAUACCCGGGUAGUC